AUUAUUAUUAUUAUUAUCAUCAUUAUUAUUAUGUUUUGAAAAGAUCUUCCUGUGGUGUGGGAAAAUACUUGUUGGGUUCUAUGCUGACGUUUGCUUUUCUUUCCCUUUACGAUCAGCGCCCAGAGGACCAGAGGUUAAUUUAUUCUGGGAAGCUGCUGUUGGAUCACCAAUGUCUCCAAGACUUGCUUCCAAAGGUAUCUGUCAUCCUUAGCUCUUGCCUUGGGGUGUGGUCAAGCUCUGGCAGUUGGAAUUCAGGUCCUGAAGUGUCUCUUGUUCCAUUCAGCAGGAAAAGCGACAUGUUUUGCACCUCGUGUGCAAUGUGAGGAGUCCCUCAAAAAAGCCAGAAGCCAGCACAAAGGUAUGGUGCCUUUUCAUGAUAACAGCUACCUGUGUCUCUGAUUCCCAAGGGAGGGAGAAAGGAAGUUGAGUGAAACUUAAGAUGUUAUGGUGUUGGGGUUGGGGAUUUAGCUCAGUGGUAGAGCGCUUGCCUAGGAAGCGCAAGGCCCUGGGUUCGGUCCCCAG
rnacentral:lncRNA from 1 species